CCUUUUCGUCCGCUUCGUUUGCCUGCGAACGACUCGAUUAGACAAGUGGUUGCUCGCGCUGGUUUCUUCCCCAACCUUGGCCCUUCCGCUGCCGAUCGCUCCGUCGCCUGCGAGAUCCUUUUUGAAAGGAGUUUACCUAUAGUCAGCCUUGAGAAUGAAUUAUAUUAUUGGAGCUUUCAAGCCACCAUGUCAUAUUACAAUUUCAUUUAUUGAUGGGAAAACCAGAAAGAAGGCUUCUAUAAAGAAAGAAAAUGGACAGACUGCAAUUGUUCCACUUUUUCAAAGCCUAGAAAAUAUUGUCGGUGAGGUGUCUAUAGAUCCAGUUCAAGGGAAAAAACUAGAACAUACUGGUGUGAAAAUUGAGCUCCUUGGUCAGAUCGAGCUUUAUUUCGACAGAGGAAAUUUUUAUGACUUCACCUCUCUAGUGCGUGAGCUUGAUGUUCCUGGUGAAAUCUAUGAAAGGAAGACAUUUCCUUUUGAGUUCUCUUCUGUUGAGAUGCCUUAUGAGUCAUAUAAUGGUGUCAAUGUCCGAUUAAGGUAUGUUUUGAAAGUGACAAUCAGUCGUAAUUAUGUCAGCAAUAUUGUGGAGUACCAAGAUUUCUGGGUUCGCAACUAUAACCCAGCACCAACAAUUAACAAUAGUAUCAAGAUGGAAGUUGGAAUUGAAGACUGUUUACACAUAGAGUUUGAAUACAACAAAAGCAAGUAUCAUCUCAAGGAUGUCAUAAUUGGGAAAAUCUACUUUCUUCUUGUGAGAAUAAAACUAAAGAAUAUGGAAUUGGAGAUCAGACGUAGAGAAUCAACUGGUUCAGGGCCCAACACUUAUGUUGAGACAGAAACACUUGCAAAAUUUGAGUUAAUGGAUGGUGCUCCAGUUAGAGGUGAAUCGAUCCCUAUAAGAUUGUUUUUGAGCCCCUAUGAGUUAACACCUACAUAUCGCAACAUCAACAACAAGUUCAGCGUUAAAUAUUUCUUGAAUCUCGUUCUUGUGGACGAGGAGGAUCGGCGAUAUUUCAAGCAGCAAGAGAUCACUGUGUACCGCCUUCAGGAAGCUCCUUGAGGUUCAUUGUUGCAAGAAAAGCAUAUACAUGGCUUUGUACAAGGGAUAGCUUCCGAUUUCCUUAUGACUAUUGCACCACCAGCCAUGCAAUCAACCGGCUCCUUCACAAAUGACGCCCCGCCAGCAGCUCAUAGGGAAGAAGAAGAGAAGAAGAAGAAAGGAUUACGAAGGGGCACCAUAAGGAUCAUCAAAACUAAGGAUUGAAGCGACUCUUUCUUAAAUUUUCAAAUAACAAACUGUAUAGAACUGAGAAAUCGAUUGCUCUGCUUGUGUGUUGUUGGAAAACAGAACGAACAAACAAAUGAGCAGGUAUUCGAACAGAUCAACAGCACACUUUUGUGCUACUUCAACUUAGAUUUGUACAAGGAAUGAAAGAGGCGACAACAAACAUGAAAAAUCAAAUCAAAGAAGCAACCAUCAACAACUCUUGCAAGCUGAUGGCCUCUCUCGAUCGUACGUUCUUCUCCUUUUUUUCUUUUUUUUUUUGUUUUA